AUGAGCCACUCUCAGCGUGGGAGGAUGGAGGAACAGCGCUGCUACCUCAGUCCCAGCCAGAUGUCCCUUCUGACUGCAAAUCUCCCCGAACCUGGGAAUAAAGCGCCCUCGUUUUCUUUACAGGACCUUCCUGCCCGUCAGGCCUGUCAUAUGCCUGCUGGUGAUCAAGAUCCUGAACAGUUUUUUAAAAUGGUGACCAACUCUCAGAGUCGCCGACUUGAUGACCAGCGCACAUUUCUACCAUACCUGCCAGGGAUUCAGGGAUCUUCCAGCUCUAAGAAUCAUGAUGAGAUCAAAUCAUCAACUGGAGAAGAAGUUGAGAAGUUGUGCAAAGUGGUGUCCAGGGUCCAGGGCUCCAGAAUGGAAGAGCAGCGUUGCAAUGCACCUGACAUCAUGAUGAAACUGGCCUCUCCAGGCCCACCAAGAAAAAGUCAAUCCAGACCAGCUUCUCCCUCCAGCCACUCACUGCAGGAUAUUUCAGCCUGUGAAAAGGACCAGUUCCUGACCAUUAUGAAACACUCUCAGCGAGGCCGCAUGGAGGAACAACGCUGCUCCUUGGAACCAAUCAAGAAAAGCCACACUGUGUCCUCAGAUCAAGAUGCCGAACAGUUCUUUAGACUUGAUGAUGACCAGCGAGCAACACUGCAGUUGCCAGUGUUACAGGGAUUCGAAAGUUCUAAGGCAAAACAGUCAGCUCCAAAAAUCAUUCUGACUCCAGGGACCCCGGCCUCUCCCAGGAGGUCCUGCUCCAGACCAACCUUUCCCACCCAGAUCUGUCCCGAAUCUUACGGCCAUCCUCAGCCUCCCCCGAGGUCUGCAUCCUUCAGCCCAUUGUCGGACAAGGAACGAAUGCAGACGGUAGCCAGUCCUCCACCCCCGGUGUGUAAUGUUCCAGUUCUGCACCGUUUCAUUUUUUUAUUCUGUCAAACAAGUCUUUAUGAUGAUGAAUGUUUGAGUUCUAACAGUUAUUUGCCCCCAAAAAGUUGACAUUUCAGGUGUCCAUGAGUUUUGUUCCAGUCCAGUAUCACAGAUUUGAAAACCAUGAGUAUCCCCAGCCAGAGGUCUUUCUCACGCUGGGUCCACCAGGAGAGGCCAUUAGGAUUCCACUGAGUCCAGUUCCUCACAGAUCUGUCUCCCUUACACUGUCCCCAACCAGACAGCCUGGAUCUACCAGCUCAUCCCCGAAACACAACCAGUGUCAAGCUGGUGGGUCCAGGCCUUUUGCACCAGGUCGGGGGUCUUCUAAGGGCAGCCCACUCAGUCCAGAUGAGGAUUACUUUUCCCUGAUCCAGAAAGUCCACACGGCACAACUUCAGGGUGGAAAGGGUCGGGCUGGUGGACAGGUGGAAAAGGGGAAAGGGAAAGGCCAGGGUAAAAAAGACAGAAAGGAUUGUGGCAGGAAAAAAUAAGUCUAUAAUACUAAAUACAUAAUAAGACUUAUAUAUUAUAUUAUAAUAAAUACUUUUCAUGCGCACA
rnacentral:lncRNA from 1 species